rnacentral:rRNA from 1 species
GAUGAACGCUGGCGGCGUGCCUAAUACAUGCAAGUCGAGCGAACAGACGAGGAGCUUGCUCCUUCGACGUUAGCGGCGGACGGGUGAGUAACACGUAGGUAACCUACCUAUAAGACUGGGAUAACUUCGGGAAACCGGAGCUAAUACCGGAUAAUAUUUCAAACCGCAUGGUUCGAUAGUGAAAGAUGGCUUUGCUAUCACUUAUAGAUGGACCUGCGCCGUAUUAGCUAGUUGGUAAGGUAACGGCUUACCAAGGCAACGAUACGUAGCCGACCUGAGAGGGUGAUCGGCCACACUGGAACUGAGACACGGUCCAGACUCCUACGGGAGGCAGCAGUAGGGAAUCUUCCGCAAAGGGCGAAAGCCUGACGGAGCAACGCCGCGUGAGUGAUGAAGGUCUUCGGAUCGUAAAACUCUGUUAUUAGGGAAGAACAAACGUGUAAGUAACUGUGCACGUCUUGACGGUACCUAAUCAGAAAGCCACGGCUAACUACGUG